CCUACGGGUGGCUGCAGUGGGGAAUAUUGCACAAUGGGCGCAAGCCUGAUGCAGCCAUGCCGCGUGUGUGAAGAAGGCCUUCGGGUUGUAAAGCACCUUCAGCGGGGAGGAAGGCGGUGAGGUUAAUAACCUCAUCGAUUGACGUUACCCGCAGAAGAAGCACCGGCUAACUCCGUGCCAGCAGCCGCGGUAAUACGGAGGGUGCAAGCGUUAAUCGGAAUUACUGGGCGUAAAGCGCACGCAGGCGGUCUGUCAAGUCGGAUGUGAAAUCCCCGGGCUCAACCUGGGAACUGCAUUCGAAACUGGCAGGCUAGAGUCUUGUAGAGGGGGGUAGAAUUCCAGGUGUAGCGGUGAAAUGCGUAGAGAUCUGGAGGAAUACCGGUGGCGAAGGCGGCCCCCUGGACAAAGACUGACGCUCAGGUGCGAAAGCGUGGGGAGCAAACAGGAUUAGAUACCCUAGUAGUC
rnacentral:rRNA from 1 species